GAUAUCAAAAGUAGUCUUCCCUUUAAAAUGGCUAUAUGGUAUGCCAAGUUUUUUCAUAGCAUAUCAUUACUAAAAGAUACAAAU
rnacentral:snoRNA from 1 species